GCUAAAUAUUUGGAUAUGCUAAAUAUUCUGUGGCUAAUUUUUUUCUGGGAUGUAACUAAUGGAUUGGAUUCUGGCAGCAGCAUUUUAUAAGCAUGAUGUAAAAUUAUAUGGACGCUGGAUGCUUUGUUGAUAUUCUGCUUUGUGGUAUCUUGGAAAGUGUUGACAUCUAAUCCAAAAUUGGCAGCGGUUCCAAAUAUACAGAUUAACUCUCUGGAUGCCUCUGUUGGCUUUAUAUUUUAUGCAGCAGUGCGCAUCCUCGUAAUGUUCCUGUUAGCAAUAGACCUGUUAGCUCAGUCAGACGGCUAGAUUUCUUCCAACUACUAUGAAUAGAAUUGGAAAAUCGUAGAAUGAAAUAGCACAAGAAAAGCUCAUUCUGUCCAUAACACGGAUACCAUCUGUCGGAUAGAGCUAUCUGAUUUAUCAAUUCUUUGACUUUCUCAUAUGUCAUGUCAAACUUUCCCUACUUAUGGAUAUCCAAUUCAUUAUUUAAUGAAACUGUUUGAACGUGAAUCAAUUGACAUCUUCAAGGAUUCCAGAUCCAACAACUGCUCCAUUUAACAUGUGGGAUGGUGGGGAAUCUUCUUAGUGCUGAUCACCUUACAACCGUAACUUCUGCUUCUGGGGUAGUUACUCUGUCAAAAUUGCUCAAAGAAGUUGAAACGGCCGUCAAACCUCUAAAUCUUCUGUAAAAUCGUGACAUCUUUCCAACAACAUGGUGCCUAAAAUUUAAUGCAGUCAUCUUGGCUGACAUCCUGUUAAUACGCCUUCCUUACUUUUCUAGGGAUUCCUUCUAUUUAUAAUGGCCUUCUCCAUUGAAAUUUUAUUUUCCAGACCUCUGGAAUUAUAUUCUUGUAUCUUCUAAAAUGAUACCGUUCAUGUUGCCUCUCAUUCAUCUGAUGAAAAUAAAUCACUUUGCUACUAAACCUCAUGCCCUUUUAUUUCGCCAAUUAUUUUUAGACUGUUUCUGAUUGUUUGUUAUACGUAAUUUCCUCGUCACCUUCACUGCUUGGAAUUCAAUCCUGUCCCUGAUCAAAUUAAUUAAAAAUAGGGGGAAGAAGCACUCUCCUGGUAGUUACCCUCUGUGGAGCAGUACUAACCACUCUUCUUUACCUUGUCAUGCAGCCAUUUUUAUAUAUACACUGCACUGUUUCUUUUAAUAUUACGGUCUUUUAUUUUGCUAAUCAGCUAUUAUGCAUUAGUUUAUCCACAAUAUUGAUCGCCCUGUCUGUAAGCUGGUCUCUGCAAUUUUCUUUAGAUUUGAGCAAUAUAUUACAAUGUAGGUCCUGUUUUACUAAAUUCUUACUAACUGCCAUUUGGAGAACUAAGUGAAUAAAUAAUUUUGUCCCUGGGCAUUCUGUCUAAAAGUUUUCUCUUCAUAUCUUUUGAAAGAUUGACCUAAUUGCCAGGUUUAUUUUCUCUCAAAUGUCAAUGUAACAUGAGCAAUCUUCUCAUAUUUGGCAUUAAAUCCUCUUCCAAGGAGCUUGGAAGAUUGUUCAGAGCUUCAACAGCUCUUUCAAUAAACUAGGGCACAUGAAAAGAACUGAUUGACCAUUUUACUUUAAGGAUUGCUGACCUUAUUAAGUGCAUUUUUUUAAUCAUAUCCAAUAUCACUUCUGCCCUGGCUGUUAUCAUUUCAAGAAUGUUUGCCGAUCCAAUAGUGCAGUUUAAGAGGAUUUUAGAUAGGCAGGUGGAUAUGCAGAGAACAAAGGGAUAUGAAUUGUGUGUUGGCAGUGGAGAUUAGUUUAACUUGGCAUCUUGUUUGGCAUGGACAUUAUGGGCUGAAGGGCCUGUUCCUAUGCUGUUCUAUGUUUGUAUUAAUAAAUUGGGGUUUUAAUAAAGCAGCAUAGUUUAUUCCUGGAAAAAGCAGUUGAGCCGAAUGGCUUAGUAGUAUGUUUGCAUGUUAGGACAAUUAAUGAUUAUUAUACUAGUUUUUUAGGCUCCUUCAAGAAGACAUGGUAUUUAUAUAUGUUUGGGUAGCUAUAUGAAGAUAACAGCUCUGUACUGGGAUUCAAGCUAAAAGGAGAGUUAAAGUUAGGAAAAGGCUGCUAGAUGGUCUAUAUUUCAAAUUAUGCGUUGGCUGUAGCAGCAAAGGAGCAAGUGAGAGGUGUAGGAAGGAACUGCAGAUGCUGGUUUAAACUGAAGAUAGAAUUUUAAAAAACUGGAGCAAUUAAGGGGGUCAGAUAGGAUCUCCAGAGAAAAAGAAAGGUAAUCUAUUUUCUCCAGAGGUGCUGUUUGACCUGCUGAGUUACUCUAGCUGUUUGUGUCUAUCAGCAAGUCAGUGGUAUUUGAAGUGCUCUCCUCGCAUUAGGUGAACUUGAAGAUAAUACAUGGGAUAUACUGAUCACAAUAUACUAAAUAAUUGGGAAACUUAUCAAGUGAGGUUUUAACAAUUGAAUAAAGGAUCUAGAAAGUAUCUUUGUUUUUCAAGAUGCUGCAGAGAGGAAUGUAGCGCUUGAAAUAAAUUACCUGCAAAAUCUGUAAUUAAUUGGAAAGUAAAUUAGAUGCAUCACUGUUUAUGAGAUCAAAUAGCAAAUUACACUUUCUCUAUCCAGAAAUAAAUGUAAUAAUUUGGAACUUGCUACAAUGCUGAAUGAUUGGGGGAAAACUAAAUGAUAUAAAGCAAAAACUAGUUAGGCAUAUGAAGAGUAAGGCAAGAAGAAUUUUGCUGAUGGAACCAAAUAUGAAAGACUUGAAGAUCAAGUGGAGCAUAAAACUGUGCAUGGACUAAUUGGGCUAAAUGGCCAUUUUCUGUGAAGUAUAUUCCAUGUAAUUGGUGAUUAAAAUAUUACUUUCCACUACACGUUACGUCAUUUGUUUUUAAAUUUGAGGAAAGGAAAAUCUUGAGUGAUAAGGGGUGAUAACUGGAUAGUCCUGCUAAGACUAAUUCUGUCUAAAUGACCACAGAUUAAAAGGUUGAGUGAUGUGAAUUGCGUGCUUGGUUGUCAGUUAACCAUUUGGGUCAGUUUUAGGUUAUGCUGAGUAGCCUUAUUUGUAACUGGUUUUGAGUUAGAUGCAAUGUAGAUUCAAGUUUCUCGAGUGAGGGUUCAAAUGCCUAACCCGUUUACCUGUCAUGGCAUUAAGACAGAUGCGAAAGACAGAUAGCAUCUGGUUUGUUAAAAUGCAGAGUCUCAAAAUCUGCUGUGCUCUUCCAAAUUUCAUUUAUUUCCCCAACCCAAGUAUUACUUGGAUCAAUUUCCAGAACUUUAACUUCGAAUACUCUUUGACGUUCUGACAGCAUUCAUGCAGAUUAGCUUUUUUUUUUUUUAACUGGUUGUUUUUAUUUUAAACUUGCUUUUAUUUUCCUUCAUUUAUAUUUUAAAGGAUAAUCUUUGUCUUAUUUUUGUUUUGUGAUUACCAGAUUUGGUUUUAUGGCUUAACUCUUGAAAAGCAAGAGAAUUUGUUCAUGCAAUGGUUGCCUGAGAGUAAUGUUAGAUGAGUUUAAUCUUAUCUGUGUUUGUGGAUUAUUCUUAAACAUCUUUUUAAUUAAUUAAGCCCUUUGCCCCAUGAGCAAUGGUGAAUUGGGUUGUGAACAACUAUUUCUGACAAUUAUAUUUUUACAAGGCACAAUUUUCUCAACACUAUAUGCUAAUUAGCACCAAAGCAUCAUUCCUUUUACGCAAAAUAAAUUAUACUUUGGGGUUGGGGUCCUGUGUAUGGGGUGGGACUGGGGUAGGGGUAGGGAGCAUGAGGUGAUGACGUUAGUAAGGUUUCUAUUAAAGUCGUGUUUCAUCUUUUACUUAGCUACCUGACAAAUUAUUUCUGUAAUAUGUUGAACAUUAAUGCCCACCUGAUUUUAAAUCUUUUUAUGUUGCCAACACUUUAUAUGCUAUUUACCAAAUGUUUUCAUUUAUUUGAUUUAAACUAAAGGUAUAAAAUUAACUAGAGCCCGAAGGAAAUAUACUGGAAUAAGAAGCAAGUAUAGCAAUAAAAAGGUUAUUUUUUCAGGCCUUCUUAGAACAAAUUAAAUGCAUGAAAGGCUUGUCUUAGGCAACUUAACUGAUUCUGGAUGUGUAUGAGCCUCAGCGCUGUGAGUUGCCCGACUCGAGAUGGAGUGAGUGGGCCCGGCUCGGGGACAGAUGGUGAGAGCAGCAACUCAGUCUUUAUACAACAGUCGAGCUCGGUUUGCUGUGCGCUUUUACUUUAAGACCUUUCCCUUCCUCUCCUGAAGGCAGCAAUUUGUGCCAGGAUAUAGUUCCACAAGCAGUGGCCCU